rnacentral:siRNA from 1 species
CAUAAUUAGUUACUGGAUGCCA